rnacentral:rRNA from 1 species
AGAGUUUGAUCCUGGCUCAGAGCGAACGCUGGCGGCGUGCCUAACACAUGCAAGUCGAGCGGACUGUAAAGAGGGGUAACUCUCUUUGCAGUUAGCGGCGCACGGGUGAGUAACACGUGGGUAACCUACCCUUAGGAGAGGGAUAACUUGGGGAAACCUAAGCUAAUACCUCAUAAGACCACAGACUGAAAUGUCAGUGGUAAAAGGAGCAAUCCACCUAAGGAUGGGCCCGCGGCCUAUCAGGUAGUUGGUAGGGUAACGGCCUACCAAGCCUAUGACGGGUAGCCGAGCUGAGAGGCUGGCCGGCCACAUUGGGACUGAGACACGGCCCAGACUCCUACGGGAGGCAGCAGUGGGGAAUAUUGGGCAAUGGGCGAAAGCCUGACCCAGCGACGCCGCGUGGGGGAAGAAGGCCUUCGGGUUGUAAACCCCUUUUGCAGGGGACGACACAGGACGGUACCCUGCGAAUAAGCCACGGCUAACUCUGUGCCAGCCGCCGCGGU